ensembl:lncRNA
AUGCUAAUCAUUCAUCAUGUUGAAGCUGCAGUUUGUGAGAGAGGAGUUUUGUGUGGAAGCCGUCGUGUGCGUUCCGUUGAGGAAAUGGAAGUUUUUUCUCAAGAAAGUUUUUUUCCCUCGGUCACAGAAAGGAAACAGCCGCCUCACAAAGGAGAAGAAACGCCUCAAACAUCAGACAUGGACCCCGAAGCUCUGCUGCUCUUCAUCCUCACGUCACAGCUUCAGAUCCAAGAGGUUACCAGCAGGACGACAGACGUGUCUCUCUACUCCCGGAGUGGACAGGAUGUCUUUCUGUCUUGUCUGAACACAUCUCCCGGUGACACGACGUGCUCGCUGGUCUCCUGGAUUUACAGCAUGGAUCAGAUCCAGUCUUCAUUCGUGGUUAAGGAAGGAAAGGUGGAGAGAAGGUUUGCUCAGGGCUCCUGCUUGAGCCUGGACACAAGGUGCUCUUUGGUCAUCAGGAACGUCACGGCCGAGGACGUCGGAGGCUACACCUGCAGGCAGGGCCAGGACGUUAACCGGGACGAACAAGUGUCCCUCAGUGUCAUGACGGUCUCUCCCUCUGAAGCGGGCUCUGACCCCGGGGGGGUCGGCGAGGUCACCCUGCGGUGCACUGUGCGGAGGCCCCCCGGGCUUCUUCUGCCUCGUGGGCAGCCUCCGAUGGCGGGACGAGGCGGGGACGGAGCUGCGGGCGGAAGGCACCGGCCGCACCCUCCUCAGGCAGACGUGCUGCGUCUCCAUGGUGACCGUGAGGCGGCAGGCCGGACCAAACAGGAAGUACACCUGCCAGUUUGUCGACGCCGAAGGCAUCGCUAUAAGAGCCGAUUACACACCUGACUUCUCAGAUGGCGCCCUUGAUCACCCCUCCAUCAUCAUCAUCAUCAUCGCUGUGGUCGCCGUGGUCGCGGGGGGUGGGCGCCUUGGUCGUCAUGGUCGCAGUUCUCAUCAAAUACAGGAAGAGAUCCAAAGGGACAGAGGGUCAGUAGCUCCUUCCAUAUAUGUGAUAAGCUGUCAAAUGGAACGUAUUUAUUUUGUUAUAUGUGACUAUUGGUCGACACAAAUUGUAUUUAGUGACGAUAAAUGGAUGGCAUAGUCCUACUCCUUCAUUCUCCAUUCAUCAGGACACUGAAGUAAGGCCACUGUCUUUGAAAGAACAGAAUGAAAAGGGACUUUACCUUGAAUUAAGCAUAACGUGGCUACUAUGUAGGACUAUGCUCAAUGUGAUCCAAUGUCAAUGGAUUUUCUUCCAGUUUAACGUAGCCUCGGAUUAUUUAUUCUCAAUAUGCCACACAGGGAUUUACAACAAAAUGUAGUUGUAGCCAGACGGCAAACUGCAGUCCUGCUGACACAAGCCAAAGCUUCAUGAGUUAAAGCUGCAUUCACAGUGACCAGCAGGGGGCGACUCCUCUGGUCUCAAGUCUAUGAGAAAAUUACAUUACUUCUCUCUUGAUUUAUUCCCUCAGUAAACAUUAUAAACAUGAGUUCACGGUCUCAGUCUGUAGUUUCAGGUCUUCUUCAAUACAAUUCAAUUAGUGAAUUAUGGUCCAUGUAGAGUGAAACAGAUCGUAAAGCGGGGGGUUGCUUUAGGGCGGGGCUACACACUGAUUGACAGUUCGUUCACUAGAGUCGAAUGCGUCAAUACGUCACUCCUCGGAAUUCCAAAUAUGGUAACUUCUGUCAUUGGUUGCAGAAAGUGAAGUUAGCGACUCCAGACGUAAGUCCACAAGCCGAUGAUGGAGUCGGGCCUCGGCGAGGAAGCAUCUCGCUGGAUUGAUGUCAUGGAUUGUAUCAUGUACAAAAGGAUACUUGAAGACUUAUCUUUUGAAAUGUUUUCUGUUGUUGCAGAUGUUCAGAAACCGAGACAACCCGCUGUGAGUAAAUGCCCCAUUGCUGUUGGUCAGGAACGUGCACAGACAUUUUGGGGGGCAGGUGCUCAAACCAAAACCAAAGGGGCACCCAUCGGCAAAAUUAUUCAUGGAAUUAAAAAUAAAAAUAAUACAACAUAAAUAAAUAAAAUACACAGUAGGAUAUAUUCCCUUCCCUUUUCUUGGCACUAUUCUGCAAAUCUUGCAUAAUAUUUUUGUUGCGCAUAAUAAUAAAGACUUACAUGAUGUGUAUAAAGCUGACAACACACACACACACACACACGCACACACACAUUUUUUGUACUGUUGUAAGCAUAAGCAUUACACUAAUAAUAUACCUCACCAGACUGUCAUAGCUCAACUAAAGACCUACCUUAACUAAAUUAAACGAAACUAGUGAACCUGUAAUUUGUCCGCCUGCCAGUAUCUCUCUCCCUCUCUCUCUUCAUUAAACUUUUUUUUUUAGUUUUUUGUUGUUGUUUAUUUUUUAGGAAACGUCGGACCAAUUGCAACGUAAUGUUUUCAGCGGCGCUAAUAUUGUGGUUAAUUUAUCACUAAACAGCGUCGGGGGUCAAUACCUGUGGGUCUGAUGCUGCAGCCGUUUGGCGCUCAGCACUGCACGAGCACGAGGAGGAGGAGGAGCAAGAGGAGGAGGGGCAAGGGGCGGGGUUUGUGAGCGCAGUUCGGGGCGAAAUUCUCACAAUAGCUCAAAUAAAGGCCGGUCAGAUAUCAAAACAUAUUUGGGGGGAAAAAAUUGUGCUCCUGCAGAAGGGGAACGUUUCUCAUCCAGGGCAAAAGGGCAGGUGCUUGAGUACCAGUAGGGCUCUACCUGUGCACAUGCACGUUGUUGGUGCAUGUAGAGUGACUCACUUAGAUGAAACCUAUUAAGCCAUAAAUUGAAAAAAACCUGUGCUCACUUCUGCCGCUGGUGGCCAGAAGCUGUAUUGUGACAGACGUAGAAGGUCAAGUUGCUCUCAUGUGCUCUUUGAAAUGAAGUUCAGAAACACUUUUCUACCCGUUGGACACAGACGCACAGUCUUCACUCUGUUCUUUAUGAAUCUCUCAGGAUGAACCCGGGAACGAUCUGACCUACAUGGCUGUGAGCCAUUCUCAUCCACAGGCCCCUGCUCGCACAAAGGUGAGUGACCUCACAGAACUUUGCAGC